AUACGGAGGGGGCUAGCGUUGUUCGGAUUUACUGGGCGUAAAGCGCGCGUAGGCGGUAUAUCAAGUUAGGCGUGAAAGCCCCGGGCUCAACCCGGGAACUGCGCUUAUUACUGAUAAACUAGAGUCCGGGAGAGGGUGGCGGAAUUCCCAGUGUAGAGGUGAAAUUCGUAGAUAUUGGGAAGAACACCAGUUGCGAAGGCGGCCACCUGGACCGGUACUGACGCUGAGGUGCGAAAGCGUGGGGAGCAAACAGGAUUAGAAACCCCAGGAGUCC
rnacentral:rRNA from 1 species